GAUGAACGCUGGCGGCGUGCCUAAUACAUGCAAGUCGAGCGAACGGACGAGACGCUUGCUUCUCUGCUGUUAGCGGCGGACGGGUGAGUAACACGUGGAUAACCUACCUAUAAGACUGGGAUAACUUCGGGAAACCGGAGCUAAUACCGGAUAAUAUUUUGAACCGCAUGGUUCAAAAGUGAAAGACGGUCUUGCUGUCACUUAUAGAUGGAUCCGCGCUGCAUUAGCUAGUUGGUAAGGUAACGGCUUACCAAGGCAACGAUGCAUAGCCGACCUGAGAGGGUGAUCAGCCACACUGGAACUGAGACACGGUCCAGACUCCUACGGGAGGCAGCAGUAGGGAAUCUUCGGCAAUGGGCGAAAGCCUGACGGAGCAACGCCGCGUGAGUGAUGAAGGUCUUCGGAUCGUAAAACUCUGUUAGUAGGGAAGAACAUAUGUGUAAGUAACUGUGCACAUCUUGACGGUACCUAAUCAGAAAGCCACGGCUAACUACGUG
rnacentral:rRNA from 1 species